rnacentral:rRNA from 1 species
AUUGAACGCUGGCGGCAGGCCUAACACAUGCAAGUCGAGUGGAUGAAGGGAGCUUGCUCCUGGAUUCAGCGGCGGACGGGUGAGUAAUGCCUAGGAAUCUGCCUGGUAGUGGGGGAUAACGUCCGGAAACGGGCGCUAAUACCGCAUACGUCCUGAGGGAGAAAGUGGGGGAUCUUCGGACCUCACGCUAUCAGAUGAGCCUAGGUCGGAUUAGCUAGUUGGUGGGGUAAAGGCCUACCAAGGCGACGAUCCGUAACUGGUCUGAGAGGAUGAUCAGUCACACUGGAACUGAGACACGUUCCAGACUCCUACGGGAGGCAGCAGUGGGGAAUAUUGGACAAUGGGCGAAAGCCUGAUCCAGCCAUGCCGCGUGUGUGAAGAAGGUCUUCGGAUUGUAAAGCACUUUAAGUUGGGAGGAAGGGCAGUAAGUUAAUACCUUGCUGUUUUGGCGUUACCAACAGAAUAAGCACCGGCUAACUUCGUG